rnacentral:rRNA from 1 species
UGGGGAAUUUUGGACAAUGGGCGCAAGCCUGAUCCAGCCAUGCCGCGUGAGUGAAGAAGGCCUGGUUGUAAGCUCUUCGGCCGGGAAGAAAUCGUGGUCUCUAACAUAGGCCAUGGAUGACGGUACCGGACUAAGAAGCACCGGCUAACUACGUGCC